UACAGAGGGUGCGAGCGUUACUCGGAUUUACUGGGCGUAAAGCGUGCGUAGGCGGCUGGUUAAGUCGGAUGUGAAAUCCCCGAGCUUAACUUGGGAACUGCAUUCGAUACUGGGAAGCUAGAGUAUGGGAGAGGAGGGUAGAAUUCCAGGUGUAGCGGUGAAAUGCGUAGAGAUCUGGAGGAAUACCGAUGGCGAAGGCGGCCAUCUGGACUAAUACUGACGCUGAGGUGCGAAAGCGUGGGGAGCAAACAGG
rnacentral:misc_RNA from 1 species